rnacentral:rRNA from 1 species
AACGAACGCUGGCGGCAUGCCUAACACAUGCAAGUCGAACGAGACCUUCGGGUCUAGUGGCGCACGGGUGCGUAACGCGUGGGAACUAGCCCUUAGGUUCGGAAUAACUCCCCGAAAGGGGUGCUAAUACCGGAUAAUGUCUUCGGACCAAAGAUCUAUUGCCUUUGGAUGGGCCCGCGUUGGUUUAGGUGGUUGGUAGGGUAAAAGCCUACCAAGGCGACGAUCCAUAGCUGGUCUGAGAGGAUGAUCAGCCACACUGGGACUGACACACGGCCCAGACACCUACGGGAGGCGGGAGGAGGGAAUAUUGGACAACGGACGAAAGCCUGAUCCAGCAAUGGCGCGUGAGUGAUGAAGGCCUUAGGGUUGUAAAGCUCUUUUGCCCGGGAUGGUAAUGACAGUACCGGGAGAAUGAACCCCGGCUAACUCCGUG